rnacentral:rRNA from 1 species
AAGCGCGCGCAGGUGGUUUCUUAAGUCUGAUGUGAAAGCCCACGCCUCAACCGUGGAGGGUCAUUGGAAACUGGGAGACUUGAGUGCCGAAGAGGAAAGUGGAAUUCCAUGUGUAGCGGUGAAAUGCGUAGAGAUAUGGAGGAACACCAGUGGCGAAGGCGACUUUCUGGUCUGUAACUGACACUGAGGCGCGAAAGCGUGGGGAGCAAACAGGAUUAGAUACCCUGGUAGUCCACGCCGUAAACGAUGAGUGCUAAGUGUUAGAGGGUUUCCGCCCUUUAGUGCUGAAGUUAACGCAUUAAGCACUCCGCCUGGGGAGUACGGCCGCAAGGCUGAGACUCAAAGGAAUUGACGGGGGCCCGCACAAGCGGUGGAGCAUGUGGUUUAAUU